AUUGAACGCUGGCGGCAGGCCUAACACAUGCAAGUCGAGCGAGCGGCGGACGGGUGAGUAAUGUCUGGGAAACUUCCUGAUGGAGGGGGAUAACUACUGGAAACGGUAGCUAAUACCGCAUACCAUCAGAUGUGCCCAGAUGGGAUUAGCUAGUAGGUGGGGUAACGGCUCACCUAGGCGACGAUCCCUAGCUGGUCUGAGAGGAUGACCAGCGACACGGGAAGGGAGACAGGGUCAAUAGUCCUACGGGAGGGAGCAGUGGGGAAUAGGGCACAGUGGGCGGAAGCCUGAGGCAGCCAUGCCGAGUGUGUGGAGAAGGCCUUCGGGGGGUAAAGAACUUUCAGCGGGGGGGCGUUACCCGCAGAAGAAGCACCGGCUAACUCCGUGCCAGCCGCCGCGGUAAUUC
rnacentral:rRNA from 1 species